GAUAAGAACGCAGCGAAAUGCGAUACUUGGUGUGAAUUGCAGAAUCCCGUGAACCAUCGAGUCUUUGAACGCAAGUUGCGCCCGAAGCCUCGGCUAAGGGCACGUCUGCCUGGGCGUCACGCAUCGCGUCUCCCCCAAACCGCCAAGGCGGAGGGGAAGGAAGAUGGCUUCCCGUGCCUCACCCGGGCGCGGUUGGCCUAAAUUUGGAGCCCGCGGCACUUAGCUCUCGCGGCGAUAGGUGGUGAACAAGGCCUUGGCCGUGCAAACAACCCGCUGCGAAGCUCUAUGUCACGUGCGCUCGUCGGACCCUUUGAAGUUGCCUUUGGUGACUUAAAACCUUUGCGACCCCAGGUCAGGCGGGGCUACCCGCUGAAUUUAAGCAUAUCAAUAAGCGGAGGA
rnacentral:misc_RNA from 1 species